rnacentral:rRNA from 1 species
UACGUAGGGUGCAGCGUUGUCCGGAAUUAUUGGGCGUAAAGAGCUCGUAGGCGGCCUGUCGCGUCUGCUGUGAAAACUCAGGGCUUAACCCUGAGCUUGCAGUGGGUACGGGCAGACUAGAGUGCGGUAGGGGAGACUGGAAUUCCUGGUGUAGCGGUGAAAUGCGCAGAUAUCAGGAGGGAACACCGGUGGGCGAAGGCGGGUCUCUGGGACGG